rnacentral:lncRNA from 1 species
AAAACAACGCAAGGCAACUGUUUUACCCCUGUCCUUCGCGGCUUUGUGGAUCUAUCUGCGUGCAUCAUGUGCAGCGUUUUUCCCGGCGCCGAUUUACCAUUUCGAGGUUUUUUUAACCACUUCCUCAAAAGUACGUCCUCUGGUCGAAGUCAACUAAAAGUUCUCAAUCAAGAUUGCAGACCUGACGAAGAUCUCGAAAGAGGAAUCGGUAAAAAAACAUGCUGUGCGAAUAAAUGCUUCUAGCAAUUUUA